rnacentral:rRNA from 1 species
UGGGGAAUAUUGGACAAUGGGCGAAAGCCUGAUCCAGCCAUGCCGCGUGUGUGAAGAAGGUCUUCGGAUUGUAAAGCACUUUAAGUUGGGAGGAAGGGCAGUAAGCGAAUACCUUGCUGUUUUGACGUUACCGACAGAAUAAGCACCGGCUAACUCUGUGCCAGAAGCCGCGGUAAUACAGAGGGUGCAAGCGUUAAUCGGAAUUACUGGGCGUAAAGCGCGCGUAGGUGGUUCGUUAAGUUGAAUGUGAAAGCCCCGGGCUCAACCUGGGAACUGCAUCCAAAACUGGCGAGCUAGAGUAGGGCAGAGGGUGGUGGAAUUUCCUGUGUAGCGGUGAAAUGCGUAGAUAUAGGAAGGAACACCAGUGGCGAAGGCGACCACCUGGGCUCAUACUGACACUGAGGUGCGAAAGCGGGGGGAGCAAACAGG